rnacentral:rRNA from 1 species
UACGUAGGGUGCGAGCGUUGUCCGGAAUUACUGGGCGUAAAGAGCUCGUAGGUGGUUUGUCGCGUUGUCCGUGAAAACUCACAACUCAAUUGUGGGCGUGCGGGCGAUACGGGCAGACUGGAGUACUGCAGGGGAGACUGGAAUUCCUGGUGUAGCGGUGGAAUGCGCAGAUAUCAGGAGGAACACCGGUGGCGAAGGCGGGUCUCUGGACAGUUCCUGACGCUGAGGCACGAAGGUCAGGGGAGCAAACGGG